UACGGGGGGAGCAAGCGUUGUUCGGAUUUACUGGGCGUAAAGGGCGCGUAGGCGGCCUCUGCAAGUCAAUUGUGAAAUCUCCGGGCUUAACCCGGAAAGGUCAGAUGAUACUGCUUUGCUAGAGUGCGGAAGGGGCAAUCGGAAUUCUUGGUGUAGCGGUGAAAUGCGCAGAUAUCAGGAGGAACACCAGCGGCGAAGGCGGCGCUCUGGGCCGGUACUGACGCUGAGGAGCGAAAGCGUGGGGAGCGAACAGG
rnacentral:rRNA from 1 species